UGCGUAGGUGGCCUGUUAAGUCUGAUGUGAAAGCCCCGGGCUCAACCUGGGAAUUGCAUUGGAUACUGGCAGGCUAGAGUGCGGUAGAGGGUAGUGGAAUUCCCGGUGUAGCAGUGAAAUGCGUAGAGAUCGGGAGGAACACCAGUGGCGAAGGCGACUACCUGGACCAGCACUGACACUGAGGCACGAAAGCGUGGGAGCAAACA
rnacentral:rRNA from 1 species